rnacentral:lncRNA from 1 species
UCCUUGAUACGCAUUGCGUGUCGUAAACGCGCGUCGUAAAUGCGCGUCGUAAAUGAGCGUCGUAAAUGCGCGUCGUCUCUCUUUAUGACAGGGCCUUCCUUGACGCGCAUUUGCGCGUCGUCUGAGCCUUUUACGACGCGCAAUGAGCGUCAUAAAAUACUGUUUUUCUAGAAGUGCAGGGGGGAAUACAAGCUAAACAUAAAUGUUUUACUGUUUUUCUAGUAGUGCAGGGGGGAAUACAAGCUAAACAUAAAUGUUUUCUUAUAAGCUAAACAUAAAUGUUUUCAGG